ACUGUACGACAGUCACUUUGAUAGUACCAAGGACGAUUUCUCAGGCUCAGAAUGUGGCAGCAGGAUGGUCAAAAGAAAAGUGCUCAGGAAAAAAACUGAUGGGUCCAGAGUCAUAGAUGAAUCCUUCACAGAAAGUGAAUCCGGAAGUGUUCUAGACAUCAAUGAGAGACUGCGGUUGCUAGGGAUCAACACUGACAGACCCAGCACAGCACCUGCUUCUGAGCCACCAUACCGACUUUCUCCUGAUGACCCAAGGCCUGCAUCUGGUACGGUACAUCAAAAAUGUUUUCCUCAUGAAUUCAGAGCAUCAAUGAUAUAAUUUGCGAAAUUAUCAUUUUCUUAUUUAGCUUUUUCAUACAUGUACAUUGUAUGUAAUUGUUUUUAAAUAUAUUUGGUAAUUUAAUCAUUUUUUUAUGAUUGAAAAUGCAGUUAUUUUGAGACCCUCUGAGCAUCCACACACCAGAAACGUACGCAAGUCGGACCCUGUGGCCCGGUACCAACAGUUCCGACAGUCGUGGACUCAUCAGCGAGCCCCAGGAGAAAAGAAACACAACCAGCUGCGCUGGAACAUCCGAGAACAAAUGCUGGCACAGGACCAGGUUGUAGAAAAGAAAUCACAAAGAGUAUUUGUCCCAAACAAAUACAUUGUACCAACAGACAAGCAGAGGAAAUCGCUGAGGUGGCAGAUACGUAUGGACCUCGCUCAGGGACAAAUGCCUGCUCAUGGCUUCUACCAUGAAUACUGAUCUCAAUUAGUCCCACUUGAAAUGACAUCCUGGUUAUAUAUAUUUUUAUGUGAGCUUUCCAUCUAAAUGGAAAAUCAACAUUCUUUUAAUGUUCAAGAGGAAUUUAAAAAUAUGUAGAGGAUACUAGGAGUAUUAGUGACUCUUCUAAAACGUGAUGUUUAUGAAGAUACUGGUAUUGUAUAUAGAAAAAGGGGGGAUUUUUAAAUUUGAAUUUGCAUGGUACUUUUACCAUUAUCAUGUACAUACUUGCAUAUAUAUUUAUAAAUGUUGUUAAUAAAACAUCUUCAGUAAU
rnacentral:misc_RNA from 1 species